GAUGAAGAAGUUUGGUAAAGAAGAGGUAGAAGAUGAUUUCUCAUAUCCAAAUAAUUGAAGAUGACUUCUAUUUUUAUUUAAGAAAAUGUUAAAAAAUAUCCACCAUUUAAGAUAAAGUUGCACAUUUCUUAUCAAAAAAAAAAAAUAAAGUUGCACAUUUAAGUGGUUAGCUAAUCAAUUUUGUCCAAAAUUUGCGUCAUGUAACUUUUUUGUUGUUCAAUGAGUUAAAAAUGAAGAGAGAAGAAGAUGAUGAGAGUCUUGUGAGCUUAGAUGACAGAGACAUUACAUUAUAUAUGUAUGGACUGAGGUUCGACCUUUAACAUCCCACACUACAAGAAAAAUCAUUUUUUUUGGCGGAAUUAUUCCCUCACUAUGUGCAUUUUUUUUUUGAAACACCCUCACUAUGUGCAUUAUUCCCCCCACUAACUGAUA
rnacentral:lncRNA from 1 species